UCUAAAAUGGCAGAAUAGUGUAAUGAAUUUAAAACUCAUUUAUGAAAUCCUUUAUUUCUUUUAGAA
rnacentral:tRNA from 1 species